rnacentral:misc_RNA from 1 species
GAUGAAGAACGUAGCAAAAUGCGAUAAGUAAUGUGAAUUGGAGAAUUCAGUGAAUCAUCGAAUCUUUGAACGCACAUUGCGCCCGCCAGUAUUCUGGCGGGCAUGCCUGUUCGAGCGUCAUUUCAACCCUCAAGCACAGCUUGGUGUUGGGACUCGCGUUAAUUCGCGUUCCUCAAAUUGAUUGGCGGUCACGUCGAGCUUCCAUAGCGUAGUAGUAAAACCCUCGUUACUGGUAAUCGUCGCGGCCACGCCGUUAAACCCCAACUUCUGAAUGUUGACCUCGGAUCAGGUAGGAAUACCCGCUGAACUUAAGCAUAUCAAUAAGCGGAGGA